AGAGGGGAUAGCGUUGGCAACGUUCAAAAGUUCCUAGGAUCCAUAAAUUCAUUUCUCAAGGUUAAUAUCAUUGUUAGACGGGAAAAUGCACAACAGAGGUGUAGAAUUGUGACAGAUUAAUGUCACGAUGUCAAAAGUAAACAUAGCAGGAGUGAAUGACAAGUUAUGGAGACAGAGGUUAAUACCAAAUUUUGUUAAUUGGUAGUUUCCUCGGAUUAUUUUAUGGAAGAAGAAGAAGAAGAUUAAAUCCACCUCGCCGUUAUUUUAAGCUUAGCACUUGAUAUACGAUCUUGCGUAUUAAACAUUAAUUUAUAUAUAAUGCGACUUGCAGUGAAGUCAGUCGCACUGUUUAUUUUUACGCUCAUGAACUCGAUGCAAACGUUAUCUGAAAUUCACGACUUUUAACAUUUGGUACUAACCUUCUUCUUCUUCUCCUUCUUCCAUAAAAUAAUCCGAGGAAACUACCAAUUAACAAAAUUUGGUGUUAACCUCUGUCUCCAUAACUUGUCAUUCACUCCCGCUAUGUUUACUUUUGACACCGUGACAUAUAACCUGUCACAACUCUACACCUCUGUUGUGCAUUUUCCGUCUAACAAUGAUAUUAACCUUGAGAAAUGAAUUUAUGGAUCCUAGGAACUUUUGAACGUUGCCAACGCUAUCCCCUCUUUUUUUAUGGAUUAUGUCCGCUUACCAUCAAUGUACGUUGACAUUAUCGACUGUUUUUGCCCUUUUGAUAACAGCAGUAUGAGAAAUUCAUAUAGCAUUAAACAACUUCUUUUGAAAAGUCCUCACGAAAUAAAAGCAUAAUUUAUUAAUUAUUAAUAAAUAACGCAAACUCAGUAGAUUAAAGAAAACUUUCCAUUAUAAUUUCGCUUGAUAAUACAACAAACUGCAAUUAUUCAGGAUAUCUGAGAGUACCAAUUUCAUGAUCGUCAACGCCGGCCGAGCCUGCUGGUAACGUGUUGAGAUUGUACUUGUCUCUCAUUAGAUCACCCGGUCUGUUGCGCGUCCAGAAUUUAGAUGUAUGAUCAUUGCUACCCGAGCA